rnacentral:rRNA from 1 species
AACGAACGCUGGCGGCAUGCCUAACACAUGCAAGUCGAACGAGACCUUCGGGUCUAGUGGCGCACGGGUGCGUAACGCGUGGGAACCUGCCUUUAGGUUCGGAAUAACUCCCCGAAAGGGGUGCUAAUACCGAAUAAUGUCUUCGGACCAAAGAUUUAUCGCCUUUAGAUGGGCCCGCGUAAGAUUAGGUAGUUGGUGGGGUAAAGGCCUACCAAGCCGACGAUCUUUAGCUGGUCUGAGAGGAUGACCAGCCACACUGGGACUGAGACACGGCCCAGACUCCUACGGGAGGCAGCAGUGGGGAAUAUUGGACAAUGGGCGAAAGCCUGAUCCAGCAAUGCCGCGUGAGUGAUGAAGGCCUUAGGGUUGUAAAGCUCUUUUACCAGGGAUGAUAAUGACAGUACCUGGAGAAUAAGCUCCGGCUAACUCCGUGCCAGCAGCCGCGGUAAUACGGAGGGAGCUAGCGUUGUUCGGAAUUACUGGGCGUAAAGCGCACGUAGGCGGCGAUUC